ensembl:lncRNA
AUUGUGACAUCACCCACUGACAAGUACCCAUUGUCACAGCCACAGACACACCAGAAACUUCAGCUCCAGCAUAAGGAAGUCACACUCUCCAGAUCAUCCACAAGACAGCCUGACUGCAUGCACUGCCAUCCUUCCAGAUUUCACCUCAACUUUCAAGAGAAGAACUUCCCUUGUUUCGCCUUGUUAUUCAGAUAGAAAUUCCAAAGAGUGAAGAUUCACAAGACAGAAAAUCAUUAGAUGUGAAGACACGCAUUAGGUGAGUGGAGUGGCAACGGACAGGAUCACAGGGAAAACAGUGGCAGAACCAGGAAGGGGAAGCCAGUCACCUUGACGUGAACCAGGGCUCCUUUUACUGGCAUUUCUCACCUUUCUGUGCAAAACGAGAGCGUGGCCUUCUGGGAGCCUACACUCUGGAAGGAAGUACCUUCCCAUGUAACCCCCGGCUCCACAGUCUUGCUUUACAAUGAUGAAUAGCACACCAGCCUACCACUUGGCUGUGAACUGUCGGACAUGUGAGUCAUGAAACUACAGAGAUUUAAGAGAAAGCUGUACAGGGAAGACCCUUCUCAGAGUGACACAGGUACAAAAUAGAGGACUCCAACCGUGGCGCAGAGGAUGAAGUGUGAAGAGAGACAAGGUCUGACAGGAGGCACGAGUCACCUCUGCUGCAGAAAGGAUGAAGAGGAGCUGCAUGAAGCAGCUAUGGAAGUAUCGAUGCCCUUCUAAGACACUAAAGAACCACCAUGUGGAUGGGACCUUGUGGAAUUUAGUCUUCCUAUCUACAAAGGUUAGACUUGGCACCGAUGAUAGGAUAAGGCGGCUGGACUUGAGGAGAGGUGGGGGACAGGAUCAUCUUGAUGAUGCUAAUUUGCUGCCUGAGACUCUUCUGUGAGAAAAAUUUUACACCUAAGCUCAGGCUUACUGGAAGGACUGAUUAGUCGCAUCUGCCACGAAGGAGACACAUGUGCUGCUGCAUUUCUGAUUGCCGUUAGCCAGACCAUCAUUAAGAUUCCGCCCAGGGUCAACCC